rnacentral:rRNA from 1 species
AUUGAACGCUGGCGGCAGGCCUAACACAUGCAAGUCGAACGGUAACAGGAAGAAGCUUGCUUCUUUGCUGACGAGUGGCGGACGGGUGAGUAAUGUCUGGGAAACUGCCUGAUGGAGGGGGAUAACUACUGGAAACGGUAGCUAAUACCGCAUAACGUCGCAAGACCAAAGAGGGGGACCUUCGGGCCUCUUGCCAUCGGAUGUGCCCAGAUGGGAUUAGCUAGUAGGUGGGGUAACGGCUCACCUAGGCGACGAUCCCUAGCUGGUCUGAGGGGAUGACCGGCCACACUGGAACUGAGACACGGUCCAGACUCCUACGGGAGGCAGCAGUGGGGAAUAUUGCACAAUGGGCGCAAGCCUGAUGCAGCCAUGCCGCGUGUAUGAAGAAGGCCUUCGGGUUGUAAAGUACUUUCAGCGGGGAGGAAGGGAGUAAAGUUAAUACCUUUGCUCAUUGACGUUACCCGCAGAAGAAGCACCGGCUAACUCCGUG